GCCCGGUAGCUAAAUGCGGAAGAGAUAAGUGCUGAAAGCAUCUAAGCACGAAACUUGCCCCGAGAUGAGUUCUCCCUGACCCUUUAAGGGUCCUGAAGGAACGUUGAAGACGACGACGUUGAUAGGCCGGGUGUGUAAGCGCAGCGAUGCGUUGAGCUAACCGGUACUAAUGAACCGUGAGGCUUAACCUUACAACGCCGAAGCUGUU
rnacentral:rRNA from 1 species